rnacentral:miRNA from 1 species
AUCGUUAUAUCGUAGUCGCC